GUCUCGUCCCGUGGGGCUCGGCGGUGGGGGAGCAUCUCCUGUAGGGGAGAUGUAACCCCCUUUACCUGCCGAACCCCGCCAGGCCCGGAAGGGAGCAACGGUAGGCAGGACGUCGGCGCUCACGGGGGUGCGGGAC
rnacentral:SRP_RNA from 1 species